rnacentral:rRNA from 1 species
GACGAACGCUGGCGGCGCGCUUAACACAUGCAAGUCGAGCGGGAACCGGGCCUUCGGGCCCGGGGACAGCGGCGAACGGGUGAGUAACACGUGGGUAAUCUGCCCUCGGUACUGGGAUAGCCCGGGGAAACCCGGAUUAAUACCGGAUAGCCCUUCGAGCCUUCGGGCUCGCAGGAAAAGGUAGCUUCGGCCUCCGACCGAGGAUGAGCCCGCGGCGGAUUAGCUUGUUGGUGGGGUAACGGCCUACCAAGGCGACGAUCCGUAGCUGGUCGGAGAGGACGAUCAGCCACACUGGGACUGGGACACGGCCCAGACUCCUACGGGAGGCAGCAGUGGGGAAUCUUGCCCAAUGGGCGAAAGCCUGAGGCAGCGACGCCGCGUGCGGGAAGAAGGCCCUCGGGUUGUAAACCGCUUUCAGGAGGGACGAAGCCACUCGGGUUAAUAGCCUAGAGGGUGACGGUACCUCCAGAAGAAGCCCCGGUUAACUACGUGCCAGCAGCCGCAGUAA